CGGAGGGUGCAAGCGUUAUCCGGAUUCACUGGGUUUAAAGGGUGCGUAGGUGGGCAGGUAAGUCAGUGGUGAAAUCUCCGGGCUUAACUCGGAAACUGCCAUUGAUACUCUCUUUCUUGAAUACCGUGAAGGUCAGCGGAAUAUGUCAUGUAGCGGUGAAAUGCUUAGAUAUGACAUAGAACACCAAUUGCGAAGGCAGCUGGCUACACGAAUAUUGACACUGAUGCACGAAAGCGUGGGGAUCAAACAGGAUUAGAUACCCUGGUAGUCCACGCCCUAAACGAUGGAUACUCGACAUACGCGAUAUACUGUGUGUGUCUGAGCGAAAGCAUUAAGUAUCCCACCUGGGAAGUACGAUCGCAAGAUUG
rnacentral:rRNA from 1 species